rfam:Glossina pallidipes unplaced genomic scaffold Scaffold120, whole genome shotgun sequence.
CCUCAGGCCUUUCUCAAGGCCAACAUUCCCAAACAAAAUAUGU